CAGGGACUCGACUAAGGGGAUCCCAACUCCGAUGUUCAACUUAAUCAAGAAAGUGAGUGUGGUAGUAGACACAAGUGUACUAGGACAACAUGAAUUUUGGCACCGAGACUUUAGCACAAUUUCACACACACAUGAAUUCCACAUAACCUCGAUACCAUCCUAACACAUUCUAUUACUUUUUACCUUUUUUCUUGUAUUUAGGAUCGCUAUAUAACAAUGAGAUGGAUUUGAGGAUGAACUUUUUUGAAGAAGUGAGGAUGACAUGACCGUAGGGAGGCAUUCCGAUUACCCAG
rnacentral:lncRNA from 1 species